GUGGGGAAUCUUCCGCAAUGGACGAAAGUCUGACGGAGCAACGCCGCGUGAGUGAUGAAGGUCUUCGGAUUGUAAAGCUCUGUUAAUCGGGACGAAAGAGCCUAGUGUGAAUAAUGCUAGGAAGUGACGGUACCGGAAUAGAAAGCCACGGCUAACUACGUGCCAGCAGCCGCGGUAAUACGUAGGUGGCAAGCGUUGUCCGGAAUUAUUGGGCGUAAAGCGCGCGCAGGCGGAUCUGUCAGUCUGUCUUAAAAGUUCGGGGCUUAACCCCGUGAUGGGAUGGAAACUACAGAUCUAGAGUAUCGGAGAGGAAAGUGGAAUUCCUAGUGUAGCGGUGAAAUGCGUAGAUAUUAGGAAGAACACCAGUGGCGAAGGCGACUUUCUGGACGAAAACUGACGCUGAGGCGCGAAAGCCAGGGGAGCGAACGGGAUUAGAUACCCUUGUAGUCC
rnacentral:rRNA from 1 species